rnacentral:rRNA from 1 species
AUACAGGGUGACAGCCCCGUACACAAAAAUGCACAUACUGUGAGCUCGAUGAGUAGGGCGGGACACGUGGUAUCCUGUCUGAAUAUGGGGGGACCAUCCUCCAAGGCUAAAUACUCCUGACUGACCGAUAGUGAACCAGUACCGUGAGGGAAAGGCGAAAAGAACCCCGGCGAGGGGAGUGAAAAAGAACCUGAAACCGUGUACGUACAAGCAGUGGGAGCACGCUUAGGCGUGUGACUGCGUACCUUUUGUAUAAUGGGUCAGCGACUUAUAUUCUGUAGCAAGGUUAACCGAAUAGGGGAGCCGAAGGGAAACCGAGUCUUAACUGGGCGUUAAGUUGCAGGGUAUAGACCCGAAACCCGGUGAUCUAGCCAUGGGCAGGUUGAAGGUUGGGUAACACUAACUGGAGGACCGAACCGACUAAUGUUGAAAAAUUAGCGGAUGACUUGUGGCUGGGGGUGAAAGGCCAAUCAAACCGGGAGAUAGCUGGUUCUCCCCGAAAGCUAUUUAGGUAGCGCCUCGUGAAUUCAUCUCCGGGGGUAGAGCACUGUUUCGGCAAGGGGGUCAUCCCGACUUACCAACCCGAUGCAAACUGCGAAUACCGGAGAAUGUUAUCACGGGAGACACACGGCGGGUGCUAACGUCCGUCGUGAAGAGGGAAACAACCCAGACCGCCAGCUAAGGUCCCAAAGUCAUGGUUAAGUGGGAAACGAUGUGGGAAGGCCCAGACAGCCAGGAUGUUGGCUUAGAAGCAGCCAUCAUUUAAAGAAAGCGUAAUAGCUCACUGGUCGAGUCGGCCUGCGCGGAAGAUGUAACGGGGCUAAACCAUGCACCGAAGCUGCGGCAGCGACGCUUAUGCGUUGUUGGGUAGGGGAGCGUUCUGUAAGCCUGUGAAGGUGUGCUGUGAGGUAUGCUGGAGGUAUCAGAAGUGCGAAUGCUGACAUAAGUAACGAUAAAGCGGGUGAAAAGCCCGCUCGCCGGAAGACCAAGGGUUCCUGUCCAACGUUAAUCGGGGCAGGGUGAGUCGACCCCUAAGGCGAGGCCGAAAGGCGUAGUCGAUGGGAAACAGGUUAAUAUUCCUGUACUUGGUGUUACUGCGAAGGGGGGACGGAGAAGGCUAUGUUGGCCGGGCGACGGUUGUCCCGGUUUAAGCGUGUAGGCUGGUUUUCCAGGCAAAUCCGGAAAAUCAAGGCCGAGGCGUGAUGACGAGGCACUACGGUGCUGAAGCAACAAAUGCCCUGCUUCCAGGAAAAGCCUCUAAGCAUCAGGUAACAUCAAAUCGUACCCCAAACCGACACAGGUGGUCAGGUAGAGAAUACCAAGGCGCUUGAGAGAACUCGGGUGAAGGAACUAGGCAAAAUGGUGCCGUAACUUCGGGAGAAGGCACGCUGAUACGUAGGUGAAGCGACUUGCUCGUGGAGCUGAAAUCAGUCGAAGAUACCAGCUGGCUGCAACUGUUUAUUAAAAACACAGCACUGUGCAAACACGAAAGUGGACGUAUACGGUGUGACGCCUGCCCGGUGCCGGAAGGUUAAUUGAUGGGGUUAGCGCAAGCGAAGCUCUUGAUCGAAGCCCCGGUAAACGGCGGCCGUAACUAUAACGGUCCUAAGGUAGCGAAAUUCCUUGUCGGGUAAGUUCCGACCUGCACGAAUGGCGUAAUGAUGGCCAGGCUGUCUCCACCCGAGACUCAGUGAAAUUGAACUCGCUGUGAAGAUGCAGUGUACCCGCGGCAAGACGGAAAGACCCCGUGAACCUUUACUAUAGCUUGACACUGAACAUUGAGCCUUGAUGUGUAGGAUAGGUGGGAGGCUUUGAAGUGUGGACGCCAGUCUGCAUGGAGCCGACCUUGAAAUACCACCCUUUAAUGUUUGAUGUUCUAACGUGGACCCGUGAUCCGGGUUGCGGACAGUGUCUGGUGGGUAGUUUGACUGGGGCGGUCUCCUCCUAAAGAGUAACGGAGGAGCACGAAGGUUGGCUAAUCCUGGUCGGACAUCAGGAGGUUAGUGCAAUGGCAUAAGCCAGCUUGACUGCGAGCGUGACGGCGCGAGCAGGUGCGAAAGCAGGUCAUAGUGAUCCGGUGGUUCUGAAUGGAAGGGCCAUCGCUCAACGGAUAAAAGGUACUCCGGGGAUAACAGGCUGAUACCGCCCAAGAGUUCAUAUCGACGGCGGUGUUUGGCACCUCGAUGUCGGCUCAUCACAUCCUGGGGCUGAAGUAGGUCCCAAGGGUAUGGCUGUUCGCCAUUUAAAGUGGUACGCGAGCUGGGUUUAGAACGUCGUGAGACAGUUCGGUCCCUAUCUGCCGUGGGCGCUGGAGAACUGAGGGGGGCUGCUCCUAGUACGAGAGGACCGGAGUGGACGCAUCACUGGUGUUCGGGUUGUCAUGCCAAUGGCACUGCCCGGUAGCUAAAUGCGGAAGAGAUAAGUGCUGAAAGCAUCUAAGCACGAAACUUGCCCCGAGAUGAGUUCUCCCUGACCCUUUAAGGGUCCUGAAGGAACGUUGAAGACGACGACGUUGAUAGGCCGGGUGUGUAAGCGCAGCGAUGCGUUGAGCUAACCGGUACUAAUGAACCGUGAGGCUUAACCUUACAACGCCGAAG